GUAUCCAGACGCUGUCUAGUCUUCAGCAGCGCCCUCAGCUUUUCCGUGACUUCGUGGUGGCUGACCGGCUAUUUCAUGGUCCAGUCCCUAGUAGGUGGCAGCUUUGGAAGAUGUGACUUGAGAAGCCCAUGCUUCAGAGCAGGCACUCCCUCGAUGGCUCCAAGUUGACAGAGAAAGCUGAAACUGCUCAGCCACUGUGGAUAACAUUGGCACUACAAAAGCAAAAGGGAUUUCGUGAGCAGCAAGCAACUCGGGAGGAGAGGAAGCAAGCCCGGGAGGCGAAGCAAGCAGAAAAGCUCUCCAAAGAAACCGCCAGUGUCAGCCAACAGCCCGGAAGCAGUCGGGUGAGCAAAGCUGGGUCGGUGCACAAGCCUGCAGCUCCGUCUGAAGAGAAGAAACCAGAAACGGCGGUGUCCAAGCUCCAGCGCAGAGAACAGCUGAAAAAGUCCAACACUCUCCCCACGUCUGUGACAGUGGAGAUCUCAGAUUCUGCACCCUCAGCACCGCUGGUAAAAGAGGUCACCAAGAGGUUCUCCACCCCAGAUGCUGCCCCCGUGUCCACAGAACCUGCCUGGCUGGCUUUGGCCAAAAGAAAAGCAAAGGCCUGGAGCGACUGCCCACAAAUUAUUAAGUAAACAGUGACUCUUAUCCAUCUUGUGGCCAGUUGUUGGCUCU
rnacentral:lncRNA from 1 species